AUGUGUGCCAAGGGCCUCUCUCUGUCAGGAGGUACUGUUGGGUUUUUGUACAGCUUCGUGUCACUGUGGUAUGUCUUCGGAGGAGGGACCACCCUGACCGUCUCUGGUCAGCCAGAAUCCGCUCCCAUAGUCCACCUCUUCCCUCCAUCCAUAGAAGAGAAGGAGAGCAAACAAAAGGCCACCCUGGUCUGUUUGGUGGACAACUUCCAUCCACCUGACAUCACAGUCAACUGGGAGGCUGAUGGGAGCCCUGUCUCUACGGGGGUGGAGACAACCAAGCCGAUUAAGCACAACAACAAAUACAUGGCCAGCAGUUACCUGACGGUGGAUCCCGCAAAGUGGGAAAGUCAUCAGAGUUUCUCCUGCAAGGUGACGCACAAAGGAACCAACUACAUGAAGAGUGUGAGCCAUUCGCAAUGUCCUUAACCCUCUCCUCCCACAGAGAUUUGCUGUGUCCAGAUCUCAGCUGUGUAAAGAGGAAAACAUCAGAUGGGCUGUGCAACUGGCUCUUUGUGUCCCUCCCCCUGCCUACCCCACUUUUCCUACUGUAUUCCCCACAAUUUUCACACACUUCCCCUUUCCCCUCAGCUUCAUAGGCAUCCCUGUUAGUUUUAAUGAAUAAUAAAACCAUGAUCAUGCAAUUUUGCUGUCUCUGUAUAGAUUUGCUUUAGUGGCAGUUUCAAAAAAGAUUGUUAGAUGACCUCUGUCAGUCAAUAAAACAAGGCAAUGCAUGAUCAUGUCA